rnacentral:rRNA from 1 species
UUGCUUCUCUGAUGUUAGCGGCGGACGGGUGAGUAACACGUGGAUAACCUACCUAUAAGACUGGGAUAACUUCGGGAAACCGGAGCUAAUACCGGAUAAUAUUUUGAACCGCAUGGUUCAAAAGUGAAAGACGGUCUUGCUGUCACUUAUAGAUGGAUCCGCGCUGCAUUAGCUAGUUGGUAAGGUAACGGCUUACCAAGGCAACGAUGCAUAGCCGACCUGAGAGGGUGAUCGGCCACACUGGAACUGAGACACGGUCCAGACUCCUACGGGAGGCAGCAGUAGGGAAUCUUCCGCAAUGGGCGAAAGCCUGACGGAGCAACGCCGCGUGAGUGAUGAAGGUCUUCGGAUCGUAAAACUCUGUUAUUAGGGAAGAACAUAUGUGUAAGUAACUGUGCACAUCUUGACGGUACCUAAUCAGAAAGCCACGGCUAACUACGUGCCAGCAGCCGCGGUAAUACGUAGGUGGCAAGCGUUAUCCGGAAUUAUUGGGCGUAAAGCGCGCGUAGGCGGUUUUUUAAGUCUGAUGUGAAAGCCCACGGCUCAACCGUGGAGGGUCAUUGGAAACUGGAAAACUUGAGUGCAGAAGAGGAAAGUGGAAUUCCAUGUGUAGCGGUGAAAUGCGCAGAGAUAUGGAGGAACACCAGUGGCGAAGGCGACUUUCUGGUCUGUAACUGACGCUGAUGUGCGAAAGCGUGGGGAUCAAACAGGAUUAGAUACCCUGGUAGUCCACGCCGUAAACGAUGAGUGCUAAGUGUUAGGGGGUUUCCGCCCCUUAGUGCUGCAGCUAACGCAUUAAGCACUCCGCCUGGGGAGUACGACCGCAAGGUUGAAACUCAAAGGAAUUGACGGGGACCCGCACAAGCGGUGGAGCAUGUGGUUUAAUUCGAAGCAACGCGAAGAACCUUACCAAAUCUUGACAUCCUUUGACAACUCUAGAGAUAGAGCCUUCCCCUUCGGGGGACAAAGUGACAGGUGGUGCAUGGUUGUCGUCAGCUCGUGUCGUGAGAUGUUGGGUUAAGUCCCGCAACGAGCGCAACCCUUAAGCUUAGUUGCCAUCAUUAAGUUGGGCACUCUAAGUUGACUGCCGGUGACAAACCGGAGGAAGGUGGGGAUGACGUCAAAUCAUCAUGCCCCUUAUGAUUUGGGCUACACACGUGC